rnacentral:rRNA from 1 species
GGGGACCCGCAAGCGGUGGAGCAUGUGGUUUAAUUCUAAGCAACGCGAAAAACCUUACCAGGUCUUGACAUACCAUUGACCGUUCUAAAAAUAGGAUUUUCCCUUCGGGGACAAUGGAUACAGGUGGUGCAUGGUUGUCGUCAGCUCGUGUCGUGAGAUGUUGGGUUAAGUCCCGCAACGAGCGCAACCCCUGUCGUUAGUUGCCAGCAUUCAGUUGGGGACUCUAACGAGACUGCCAGUGACAAACUGGAGGAAGGUGGGGAUGACGUCAAAUCAUCAUGCCCCUUAUGACCUGGGCUACACACGUGCUACAAUGGUUGGUACAAAGAGAAGCGAAGCGGUGACGUGGAGUAAACCUCAUAAAGCCAAUCUCAGUUCGGAUUGUAGGCUGCAACUCGCCUACAUGAAGUUGGAAUCGCUAGUAAUCGCGAAUCAUAAUGUCGCGGUGAAUACGUUCCCGGGUCUUGUACACACC